GGCUUUAUAGUCAAAAUUGACGUCAAAUUGCAAAUUUGAAGGUGGUGUUGUACCUAAGGCCU
rnacentral:tRNA from 1 species